GACGAACGCUGGCGGCGUGCUUAACACAUGCAAGUCGAACGAAGUGGCGAACGGGUGAGUAACGCGUAAUUAACCUGCCCUUCAGAGGGGGACAACAGUUGGAAACGACUGCUAAUACCGCAUACUGAAGGAGGGGGUUGCGUCUGAUUAGCUAGUUGGAGGGGUAACGGCCCACCAAGGCGAUGAUCAGUAGCCGGUCUGAGAGGAUGAACGGCCACAUGGGGACGGAGACACGGCCCGGACUCCUACGGGAGGCAGCAGUGGGGAAUAUUGGCCAAGGGGGGGAACCCUGAUCCAGCGACGCCGGGUGAGUGAAGAAGUAUUUCGGUAUGUAAAGCUCUAUCAGCAGGGAAGCGGUACCUGACUAAGAAGCCCCGGCUAACUACGUGCCAGCAGCCGCGGUAAUUC
rnacentral:rRNA from 1 species